rnacentral:lncRNA from 1 species
CGCAUUUUUUCCUGUCCAACCAUUUUCUUCUCACACAGUUUGUUUCCUAGCCCCAGGAAGCCUGGCGUCCCAGGAUCUGCCUCUACUUUUUGAAGAGCUUACCUGCAUUGAUAUCAGAGUUCAGGAUAAUUCCACUCAAGGCAGAUUUCUCUCCCCAAGAAAUUCUGACUCACAAAUUGGAGGAGCCUGAUUAAUCAGGAGGGAUUUUGCGGCAAAUGCCAUCAGACAUCCCGCCAUCCCCUUUCAGGAGGGGAGAAGCCCUGCUCUGGCUGGUGUCACCCAGCAAUCAGGACCACCUGUAAGGAUGCAAAGGAGGAUGCUCACCCCAACCCUGCGUAUUCGUUACCCGCACUCAGGACAGGAGUCCUGGCCACCGCUUGGAUCUGGUUCUUGGGCUAAGGAGCUUCUGCUCUGAGCUGGCAGCAGACACCCAAUAAGGUCUCAGUGACAGGGCCCUGCUAAGGGAUAAGGAAGAUACGUGAGGACCCAGGGAAGAGCAGCCUGCUGGUAAGUCCCGGCAUCCUUCUCUGUGUAGUGCUCCAUUCCUCCCUCUCUCACUAAGUUGAGUUCCUGCCCCCAGGACCCUCUCUCUGCCCAGCGUGUCCUCUUCCACAGCUGUGCGCAUGGCUGGCUCUUUUCACCCCCUGAUCUUUCCCCCGUCCCUUCAUCUAAACCAGCUCCCAUUUGACAUCUUUCUUCCAGAGCACUGAUCACAA